AUACUUAUCUGGAUGGGGUUUAUGGUUGAUCAAGAAGAAUCAUGACAUAUGUUAGUUGACUUCCAUUGCACUUUGGAAGGGCGCUCGCCUAAGAUCACUUCAUCGAGGGAGAGUCUACGUCAUAAUUUGUUCCUGAAUUGGGUCCAAGAGCAUAGCUCAGUG